GCGACAAGGACGGCUCAGAGAGCCGGGCAGGAAUGAGGGGUAGUAGGGGAGGCACAGCAGGGCCGAGCGGGCACGAAGAGCAGCAGGGGAGGACACGAGUAGGUGAGGACACAGUGAAGGGUGACAGACUAAGGGGUAUGGGACAAAGGGUGCUGUGCCCUCGCCGCCGAGCCAUGGCCCACUGAAGGUGAGGUGCGGCAGGAGCGAGGGGACGGGAGAGGUCGAGCCCAGAGAUACUCUCUUGAGUUGCCCCUUUUUUCUCCAAGGAAACUUCAUGCUGUGGAUGUGAUUUAGAACAGGUGCAUUGUUUUAAAUCCUACACCAUUCAAUGAAGAAUGGAUUUCAAUGCAUACAUCUUCAGUUAAAUAACUGAAUCUUAGCUUCAAAAAUGUUGGAAUGAGAUCACUUCAGUGUGUAAGUCAUCAAGCAAGAUUUCUUCUAAUUUUCUAUAUUAUAUUCAGUAUAGGACUUUAGAGGUUUAAGAGGCUAUCAUAACUGUCAUUGUGUAGUCCUUUGAACCUUCUGGCCUAAUGACAGCUGCAUUACAAGGAGUACGCAGCUUAAAAUAAUUUACUUUUAUAAACUGAAGAAAAUUGCAAAUGUUCAUCAGAAUUUCUUCCUAAAAUGUGCAAUUCCAUAUGCUUAUUUAUGUAAAACCUCUAAGCAGGGUGUAAUCUUACUAUGUACUAUGCAAAACAAGAAUCACAAUUUCUGUGGCAUAUUUGUGAUCUCUUUACUUCUGCAAUGUUACAUUUCUACAAGAAUUUGUGUUUUGUUGCAUCACAAAAUGCCUAAAUGAUGACAAAAUGUUUUCACGAUUUCAGUCAAGAUUUCUGUAGUUGCUUAGUUAUGCAGAGACUUUAGAAUUCAACACUCCUGAACUGUGACUACUGCUUCACCAGAAGAGAGAAGCAGGACUUAACCUCUUCUGAAGACAUUUUCUCAGCCAAUUUAUGACUGCUUUGGCAGAUCUGUUACCUUAUUUGCCAAAAUUUAUCAAACUUAAAUUGAGUCUGCCUGCAUUUGAAAAGUUCACAGAGACAUUCAAAUUUGGAAAACUAAAAUCAGAACUGGAAGGAAAAGAUUUUUACACCACAGAAGAAUUUAGAAAUAGAAGUUUCAGUGUUCUGCUUGAGUGAUGAACAAAGUUUUUCAAGUAGAAGUUGAAUAUAUCUUCUUCACUUUAGCCAGUAACACUCUCAUAGACAAACUGAUAAAGUAUGGGGUAGAUGACGAGUCUGUGAUGUGUGUUGAAAAGUGACUGAAGAGCUGGGAGGUGAAAUGCAUGAAGAGUGGUGAAAUGCGAGAAACAGCAUAAAGUCCAGACAGAGACCAGUUCCCUCCCACCUGGAGUACUGUGUCCAGUGAUGGCUCCCCAGUAUGAAGACGUGGACAGAGAGAGUCCCACAAAGAGUCACAAAUUUUUCAGGGACUGGAGCUGCAGACAUACCAGGGAAUCUGAGUGAGUGCAUGUUCAGCCUGGGGUAGAGAAGGUUCAAUGGGAAUCAUCAAUGCUUAUAAAUACUUGACAGGGAAGUAAAGAUCAAUGCAGACCCUUCCCAAUGGUACCAAGAGAAAUAACAGGAAAAUCUGGCAUGAAUUGAAAUAGAAGUAAUACAGUUCAAACAUAUUUUUCCCCACUGUAAGGCUGAUUGAACAUUCAAACAGGUUGUUCAGGGAGGCUGUGGGGGUCUCUAUCCUGCAGAUACUCAAAACUGAACUGGACAUGGCCCUGAUCACUCCACUCCAGGUGGCCUUGCUCUCAGUGGGGGCACUUGAACUAGAUUAGGUUCAGAGGUGCCUUCCAGCCUCAGAAACUCUGUUUCUGUGAUUCUGGGAAUAUUGUGCCCUCUCCUAGGUCAAGAACUGAGUAUAGUGCAGACUGUGGAGAGCCACUGAAAUUAGGAUACUGUAAACACAAAUUGAGUGUCACAAGUCUUGACACUAGCCACAGAUCAACAACUGUUAGAACAAUACCAGAGAACAGUGGAAGGGCGCAUAAUGUGCAUUGUUGUGGACUGAUCUGAUUUCCUACAAGGACCCUUGCCUGUAGAGAUCUGCUGGAAAUGUUUUAAUACAGCCAUACAAAGUCACAUAGAAGCAAAGUGGAGCUGCUGUGUGUUGUAGCCCAACCACUGCAUGAACAUCAGCACUGAGAGUGGCUGGAACAAGCAUUGACUUCUUUGACUCUGGACUGGUGAUCACAGUGUACAUCAAUGCGAGUAAGAGAGACACAAUAGACAAGGAGCUUUGAGAAGUGUGUGAGUGUUUCACCAAAGAGACAAAGAUGUUUGUAGCUGCUCAUAGGAGAUGUCUAUAUUAAAAACUUGCAAGAUUCCUUCUUCCCAUUCACUCAUCUUGAUUGCUCAGAGUGAUCUUCACCCCUUUCAGUUUCAGGGGAGAAGGCUUUAUUUAAAAGCUGGUCAUGGACUGUGCACAGUAUAAUUCAAAGAAUCACAGAACCGAUACAGAUGGCCUUCAGAAUAAAGUGCUCCAUCACCUUUCCAGGGAUUGAAGUGAGGCUGACUGGCCAAUAGUUCCCUGUGUCCUCUUUCUUGCCAUUUUUGAAGACCAAGGUAAGAUUUGCUUUUUUCCAGUCCCAAGGCACCUCUCCUGAUCACCAUGACCUUGCAAAGAUGACUGUGAGUGACCUCACUAUGGUGUCCAGACGCUCUCUCAUGGACGCAUCCAGCCAGACCCCAUGGACGUGCAGAUGUCAAGUUUGCUUAGGUGUUGUCUAACCUGAUCCUCCUUCACCAAGGGAGAAUUUUCUUUCCAAGACUCCUUCACCCUGUUCUGUGUCAGAGAACCCUGAGGGCUGGUCAUAUCAGUGACAAAGAAGGCAUUUGAUAGCUUUGCCUUCUCUACAUCCCUGGUACCAGGGUCACCCUCCAUUUACUAAUGGGCCCACAUUAUCCUUUUUCUUUUCUUCUGUCCUUCAUGUGUUUUACGAAGCCCUUCUUGUUGUCUGUGACAUCCUUGGCCAGAUUUAAUUGCAGAUGGGCCUCAGACUUUCUGGUCUCAUUUCUACUUACUCUGACAGUUCUCUAUAUUCAUCCCAUGUGGCUUGAUGCUGCGUCUAACUCCUGUGUAUUUUCUGUUCAUGAUUGAGUAAUGACAGGAGUUCUUUGUUCAUCCAUGCACGUCUCCCUCCGGCUUUGCCUGAUUUCUUGCUCAUUGAUAUGCAUCAUUAUUGGUUCUGGAGGAAGUCAUCUUUGGAUAUCAACUACCUCUGUUGGACUCCUCUUCCCUGCAGGGCCUGUUUCCAUGGGAUUCUUCCAAGACCAUCCCUGAAGCAGCUGACAUCAGCUCUCCUGAAGUCCAUGGUUGUAGUCUUAUUUGCUGUCCUGCUUCCUCCUUUCCUGAUAAAUAGUUUCACAUUUUCAUGGUCACUGCAGUCAAGGCUGCCCUCAACCUUCACAUCUCCAAGAAGGAGAUGGUGUUAAUAUGAGCUUGAGCAGCUCACCGUUCCUUGUGGGAUCCUCUACUACCUUGACAGGAGAUUUUCAUCAAGGCUGUCAAAGGAACACCCUAGACUAUUUGUGCUUUGCUUCUCCAGCAGAUGGCAGAGUAGAUAAAGGCCCUCUUAAGAACCUGUGCCUGUGACCUUGAGGCUGCCUAAAGCUGCCUGGAGAAAGCCUCUUCCUCCUCCAGGUGAUCAGGCAGCCUGUAGUAAGCACCCACAGCAGUGUCACCUUUAUUAACCUGCUCUUUGAUCU